GGACUACCAGGGUAUCUAAUCCCGUUUGCUCCCCUGGCUUUCGCGCCUCAGCGUCAGAAAAGGUCCAGCACGUCGCUUUCGCCACCGGCGUUCCUUCCGAUAUCUACGCAUUUCACCGCUCCACCGGAAGUUCCACAUGCCCCUACCUUCCUCAAGACGACCAGUAUCCAGGGCUAUUCUCCAGUUAAGCUGGAGGAUUUCACCCCGGACUUGAUCACCCGCCUACGCGCCCUUUAAGCCCAGUGAAUCCGAACAACGUUCGCACGGUUCGUCUUACCGCGGCUGCUGGCAC
rnacentral:rRNA from 1 species